CAAUUUACGGAUACUAAAGGAAUGUCCACUCUUACGUGAGUGAAAAUGUCACCAAAUGGAUGACUCCCAGAGAAGUCAUCUGGGCCACCACCUGACGCUUGGCGCUCAGAAAAUCCAGUAGAACAAUCGAUCGCAAAUCGAAAAAGACAAAUCACAUAUUCACUAUUUAUGUCAGUAGUAAGGAAGGCACCAUUUGGCAUUGAGGCAGAUUAUCAUAGUCCUGUUUGGUGCAACUGCUUUUAAAUAUUAUUUUGUUGUUUGGAUAACUCUUUUCCUUCGUUUGAUUUAUAAAACAAACUACCAGGAAGAUAGAUUUAUGUCUCUGCGGAAACUUAAAAAGCACAUGCAUAGUCACAGAAAAUAGUUAAUAACCCGGUCGUAUGUUUCACGCUUAUCUUCAUCCUUCAAAACCUGAGAUAAGCAUGACAAAACGCACCCUUUAGAAUAAGAAUGUCCAAUGGUUAAUGUAGGACAAGCUAAGAUGGUGCCCAAACAAAGAAACCAAAAACAUGUUCAAUCUUGCACUCAUGCGGUUGGGUCAGCCUAGCGAUGGAACUCCACCCGCCAGAUCUACGCUGAGAUGACAGCGAGGAAAGAAGCCGCUGAGGCGCUGACAUGGCCCAUUCUCCUCCCGCAUACGGCCCCUGGUCAUGGGCGUGGACCGUGGGGAAGGGAUCCCGAAGACGAAGAUAGGAGCGUGGAAUGUUGGAGGUGAGGAAAUAUUGCAAAAUCAGUAUGCAAAAAACAUCUUAAUGGACUGAAUAAUAUGCACAUAAAUAAAUCGAUAAAAAAAACUCACAUGAUCUUGUUAACGAUGUUGGUGUGAUGCCCCCAAUAUUGUUAUCCAUAUCUUAAUUUAGUGUUAGCCAGCUGAACAAUCCUAACAGCAUACUUCACAUCGAGAGUUAAAACUUGUUUCUGUAAAUCAGAAGAAAAAUUCAAAAGUAAACUAAUGAGAGUGAAAAUAAAUUAUUCUGAACUUAACUCUGAAAACAGCUUAGAAUGAUAUUCGCAACAUCAUGUUCCUUUUGAAUAAAAAGUAUGAACUCCAAGCAGCUAUUAUAUCUGUUUAUUCCAUCGAUUAAAGAUACUUUCCAUUAGGAAAAAGAUAUAUUAGCUGCACAUUUCGUAGAACACAUGAAUGCUUGGAGGUAUAUAUUAGCUGCACAUUUCGUAGAACUCAUGAAUGCUUGGAGGAACUCUCCAUGCAUUGGUUAUGUAUAUGUGUGUUUCUGGUGAUAACCUAAAUUAGUUACAGAUUACACCUUCAGCCAACAUUUAGCUUGUACAAGUCCAACUCAAGAUCAACUUCUAUAUUGAGGCAUAAAUAAGGAACUCUCAAUUUAUUGAGGAUGAAUUAUGAAUACACUGUGAGAGGUCUUUCUUGAAAGGAAGAUUACUAUGAUCUCAUUAAGAACAACAAUAGUAGUGCGGCAUACACAUUUUUUCUCAAGUUUCUAGUUUGCAUGAAAUAAAUAUCAGUUAUCAAUGUUGAUAA